GAUGAACGCUGGCGGCGUGCCUAAUACAUGCAAGUCGAGCGAACGGACGAGAAGCUUGCUUCUCUGAUGUUAGCGGCGGACGGGUGAGUAACACGUGGAUAACCUACCUAUAAGACUGGGAUAACUUCGGGAAACCGGAGCUAAUACCGGAUAAUAUUUUGAACCGCAUGGUUCAAAAGUGAAAGACGGUCUUGCUGUCACUUAUAGAUGGAUCCGCGCUGCAUUAGCUAGUUGGUAAGGUAACGGCUUACCAAGGCAACGAUGCAUAGCCGACCUGAGAGGGUGAUCGGCCACACUGGAACUGAGACACGGUCCAGACUCCUACGGGAGGCAGCAGUAGGGAAUCUUCCGNCAUGGGCGAAAGCCUGACGGAGNCACGCCGCGUGAGUGAUGAAGGUCUUCGGAUCGUAAAACUCUGUUAUUAGGGAAGAACAUAUGUGUAAGUAACUGUGCACAUCUUGACGGUACCUAAUCAGAAAGCCACGGCUAACUACGUGCCAGCAGCCGCGGUAAUACGUAGGUGGCAAGCGUUAUCCGGAAUUAUUGGGCGUAAAGCGCGCGUAGGCGGUUUUUUAAGUCUGAUGUGAAAGCCCACGGCUCAACCGUGGAGGGUCAUUGGAAACUGGAAAACUUGAGUGCAGAAGAGGAAAGUGGAAUUCCAUGUGUAGCGGUGAAAUGCGCAGAGAUAUGGAGGAACACCAGUGGCGAAGGCGACUUUCUGGUCUGUAACUGACGCUGAUGUGCGAAAGCGUGGGGAUCAAACAGGAUUAGAUACCCUGGUAGUCCACGCCGUAAACGAUGAGUGCUAAGUGUUAGGGGGUUUCCGCCCCUUAGUGCUGCAGCUAACGCAUUAAGCACUCCGCCUGGGGAGUACGACCGCAAGGUUGAAACUCAAAGGAAUUGACGGGGACCCGCACAAGCGGUGGAGCAUGUGGUUUAAUUCGAAGCAACGCGAAGAACCUUACCAAAUCUUGACAUCCUUUGACAACUCUAGAGAUAGAGCCUUCCCCUUCGGGGGACAAAGUGACAGGUGGUGCAUGGUUGUCGUCAGCUCGUGUCGUGAGAUGUUGGGUUAAGUCCCGCAACGAGCGCAACCCUUAAGCUUAGUUGCCAUCAUUAAGUUGGGCACUCUAAGUUGACUGCCGGUGACAAACCGGAGGAAGGUGGGGAUGACGUCAAAUCAUCAUGCCCCUUAUGAUUUGGGCUACACACGUGCUACAAUGGACAAUACAAAGGGCAGCGAAACCGCGAGGUCAAGCAAAUCCCAUAAAGUUGUUCUCAGUUCGGAUUGUAGUCUGCAACUCGACUACAUGAAGCUGGAAUCGCUAGUAAUCGUAGAUCAGCAUGCUACGGUGAAUACGUUCCCGGGUCU
rnacentral:rRNA from 1 species